rnacentral:rRNA from 1 species
AGGUUGGCUCAGAAGCAGCCAUCCUUUAAAGAGUGCGUAACAGCUCACUAGUCGAGUGACCCUGCGCCGAAAAUGUACCGGGGCUAAGCCUGAUACCGAAACUGCGGAUUGUAGGAAACUAUAGUGGUAGGGGAGCGUUGUAUACGAGCAGAAGCCGUACCGUGAGGAGCGGUGGAUUGUAUAGAAGUGAGAAUGCCGGUGUGAGUAGCGAGAUGUAGGUGAGAAUCCUACACACCGAAAGCCCAAGGAUUCCAGGGGAAGGUUCGUCCGCCCUGGGUAAGUCGGGACCUAACGCGAGGCCGAAAGGCGUAGUGGAUGGAAAGCAGGCGAAAGAUUCCUGCACCCGUAUAUGGAGCGAAGGAGUGACGGAGACGGAUAGUGUGACCCUCUUAAUGGAUUGAGGGCGAAGCGAAGCGGCUGGUUACCAGGCAAAUCCGGUAACCAUAAGGCUAGAGCGUGACAGGUAAGCGAAAUCUUCGGAAAGUAGCGAAGCACAUGAUGACGGCUUCCAGGAAAAGCUUCUGGCAAUGCAUAUGCGGCCCGUACCAAAACCGACACAGGUGGGCAGGGAGAGAAUCCCGAGGUGAGCGAGAGAACUGUUGCCAAGGAACUCGGCAAAAUGACUCCGUAAGUUAGCGAGAAGGAGUGCUUAAGCAAUUAAGCCGCAGUGAAGAGGCCCAAGCGACUGUUUAACUAAAACACAGCUCUCUGCGAAGUCGCAAGACGAAGUAUAGGGGGUGACACCUGCCCGGUGCUGGAAGGUUAAGAGGAUCUGUUAAGAGCGAUCUGAAGCAGUGAUCCGAAGCCCCAGUGAACGGCGGCCGUAACUAUAACGGUCCUAAGGUAGCGAAAUUCCUUGUCAGGUAAGUUCUGACCCGCACGAAAGGUGUAACGAUUUGGGCGCUGUCUCGGCAGCAGACUCGGUGAAAUCUUAGUACCUGUGAAAAUGCAGGUUACCCGCAACUAGACGGAAAGACCCCAUGGAGCUUUACUGCAGCCUGAUAUUGAAUUCUGGUCAUACAUGUACAGGAUAGGUGGGAGACAAAGAGACGUGCACGCCAGUGUACGAGGAGUCGACGUUGGGAUACCACUCUUGUGUGACCGGGGUUCUAACCUGGUAUCGAGAACAGGUACGGGGAGAGUGUCAGGUGGGCAGUUUGACUGGGGCGGUCGCCUCCCAAAGAGUAACGGAGGCGCCCAAAGGUACGCUCAGAUUGGAUGGAAACCAAUCGUCGAGUGCAAUUGCAGAAGCGUGCUUGACUGUGAGACAGACAAGUCGAACAGGGACGAAAGUCGGGAAUAGUGAUCCGGCGGUGCCGAAUGGAAGGGCCGUCGCUCAACGGAUAAAAGCUACCCUGGGGAUAACAGGCUGAUCUCCCCCAAGAGUCCACAUCGACGGGGAGGUUUGGCACCUCGAUGUCGGCUCAUCGCAUCCUGGGGCUGAAGUCGGUCCCAAGGGUUGGGCUGUUCGCCCAUUAAAGCGGUACGCGAGCUGGGUUCAGAACGUCGUGAGACAGUUCGGUCCCUAUCUGUUGUGGGCGAAGGAGAUCUGCGGAGAGCUGUCCUCAGUACGAGAGGACCGGGAUGGACCUACCGCUGGUGCACCGGUUGUUCCGCCAGGGGCAUAGCCGGGUAGCUAAGUAGGGAAAGGAUAAGCGCUGAAAGCAUCUAAGCACGAAGCCUACUCCAAGAUGAGAUCUCCCAUUCGCAAGAAGUAAGACCCCUUAAAGACGAUAAGGUAGAUAGGCCAGGGAUGGAAGUGCAGUGAUGUACGGAGUUGACUGGUACUAAUCGGUCGAGGACUUAAUCAG